UUGGCAGUUUGUGUAUUUUUAAUUGCACUGGUUACUGCUCAGCACUACUAUAUGACUAUGUAGGUAUUUGGCUCCAUAGACAUUUUUAAAAAAAAUCCUAUGAAAGCAACAUGUUCCAUUGAACACAAAUUCCUUUCCCUGAAUGAAAGAAUAACCUACGUGUGACAAUGUCAGUCAAAUAACAGCACAAUUCUGAAAGGCACUCAGAUUUGUGACGUCCCAGUUGUGGAAGUCAGGAAGCACCCAGAUAUUAUGAGUUAUAAUACGAGCUAUAGAAUACUUGCUAACACAGAGAAGAGUGUCACAAUUAGCUGCAAACUCAAGUUCAGAUCCAUGUUUGUACUGAAACACUCCAGAGCCCAGAUGUUAACGGGGUUUUUCCAUUUUGUUCUAGGUCAGGGGUGUCCAAUUUCUAAGCACCCAGGGGCCACAGGCAUUGGAGGCCUUACAAGUGAGCCACAGGCCACUGGGUUGCGCAGACACUCCCCCACACCCUCCUGUUGCACUGUACACCUGCAUGGGCACCUCCAUACUACUGCACUGGGCACCCAACUCCUUGCUACACUGCACAGUCAGGCAAUUGGACAACUGGAGAACUACUAGGUUCAUGAUAUCACAGGGCAAGAACACAGGCAAGUUUGUCAGAUUUGCUUAUGGAAGGAAGGGACAUCACUUCCUCUACAGAAGGCCUGUGUGGUUGGAGAGGGCAGGACUGUUGGACAACUCUUCUCCUAAUCUUCAACAACAACCUAAAUACUGUGGAAUCCUCCAAAACUCAAGAGGAAAGGGUUUGGGGAAACUGUCCAGUAGGAAGGACCCUAGGAGGAGCUGUGCUACCAACAGGACUGAAGGGAACAAAGAAGCCAAGAGCUGGCAUGAAGGGCCACAGUAAAAGAAAGAAACACAGUUGCAUCAAGGACCAGACCCUACAAACUCAUACACAUGACACGAGUCAUCUUCAGAAAGGAGAAAUCCCAAGUUUAGAGGAAAUGAGCACUCGAUUAUUUAAAUUUCCUGAGAUUAGAGGAAGAACACUUUGCCAAACAAUGCCUCUUCACUUCAAAACCUCUCCUCAUAAAUUAUGUUAGGAGAUCUUAUUAAAAGUCUGUAAAAAUUUCCUAUUAAAAAUGGUUGAUUGCAGUCCAGACCAUCACAGCUUUUGUGCUUUCGUUGAAAUACCACAGCUGUCGCAAAGAAAUAUACUGUGAGACAAAAGGUUUUGUUUCCUUUGUAAUAAAUUAUUUUUGUGAUAUCCGAA
rnacentral:lncRNA from 1 species